CUUCAUUCAGUUAUUGUAAUCGUUCUUUGUGUUAAGCAUGGAUGGUUCAUGGGGAAUUGUGCUUCUAAAUAGCCUGAAAUCCCCUGAGAAAAACGGAGAACAACGAACUAAUAUGUGAUACUUCAUAACCUGAGGGUAAUCUGGUAUAGAUCAACGAAUUUCCAAGAGAUUUCGCUGAGGUCUAACCUCCUGAAAACCUAACCUAACUGAUGAUGAAGUGCUGUACUUAUAAAUUAUUAGCACGAGAUGUCAAUAUUGCCUUGUAAAUUUGGUGUAAUUAAAGCUUAUUUAUAAAUUU